rnacentral:rRNA from 1 species
AACCUCACCAGGAGCGACAGCAGGAUGAAGGUCAGUCUAAAGGGCUUACCUGACACGCUGAGAGGAGUUGCAUGGCCGACGUCAGCCUGUGCCGUGAGGUGACCUGUUAAAUCAGGUAACAGGCAAGACCCACAUGUAUAUUUACUACGUGUACUAUAUACAGAUUGCCUUGGUAACGAGGAUGAAAGUGUGGGCUACGUUAGGUGAGUACAGCCCUAAUCCCCUGGGCAACACGCGCGCGUCAAUGGUGAAUACAACGGGACGCGACUCCGAAAGGAGAAGCUAAUCUCUUAAAGUUCAUCUCAGUUCAGAUCGAGGUUUGUAACUCAGCCUCGUGACGCUGGAAUCUGUAGUAAUCGUUUGUUAUCAACGAACGGUGAAUAUGUCACUGUCUCUUGCACACACUGCCCGUCAAACCAACCAAGUUUAGUUAUGGUGAAACAAUUCGUUGGAGAACCUUGACUAGACAAGGUAGGUUAAGUCGUCACAAGGUAUCUGUAGGGGAACCUGCAGAUGGAUUACCUCCUA